rnacentral:sRNA from 1 species
CAAUGUUACAACUGCCUAGGAUUCGGUC